UUACAACUCUGUAUUUUCCAAACGGACUUACUUUCUUGGAUUGUAAAAUUAUCUUGAUGAUAUUCACUAGCUUAUUGAAAUAAAUUGCGCAACAUACGGCAUCUUCAUUAACCAAGGUUGUUUUUUGAAAGUAAUUUAAUGCUUCAAUCUGCUCAUCUGUCAGUAUUUCUCCUUCAUUUUUAAGUUAUGAAGAAGAUGUAAAAGAUGUGGCCACCCUAUUUCAUUAGCGCUAGUCGUCAAAAACAUGGUUGGUUUUCCCAACUAGCGCAUCAUUGCAAACAGAUCCCGCUUACGUGCCAACCAAUAAGCUGCAGAAUUAGAGAUAUUGUUGUUUGUGCCGAUGUGUUUGAACCCUAUCUUUAAACCAUUACAAAUCCUCAGACGCAAUAUCUACAUCGCCGUAUAAAGAAGUUUAUUUGGUAUCACGCCCCGUCUAUCAGAACAACGCAAUUCACUGGUUGCCAUCAUAAAUGGUGUCACUGUAAUAUCGCCCCGGAAUACACGGAAUUGCCCUAAGUAUCAAAUAGUAAACUUUUUGGGAUCGUAUUUUCACCUGGAGCGAUGUGAAAGAAUUUAUAUUCGUUCCACAAAACAGUUUGCUGUUGGGCUGUAAGACUGUCAUCGAUUGUAAUGUGCUCACUUAAUUCAUCAAUAUUCAUUCUUGUUUGUACGGACUCAGGGUCAACAGGUGUCUGGACCAAGUAUGUUAAAUAUUGUUUGAUGACAGCCCUUUUGACCAGCCCGUGAAGACAACUCGUUCUAUGAAUAAGCUUUUUUUUGAUGUGUACAUUAAUACAAAACUCUUCUUCUUGACCAUUGAGUGGUCUAGUUAUAGCGAACUGGCCGUUGAAAUGGCGCAAUCUUCGUAUCUGCAUAAAAGGGAGCCGUGGUGAAAUUAAUCGUUCAGCAAUGAUGUCUAAUUCUGGUAAGUGCGCUGGCCUCUCUGGGUAUUCAAAGUCGUUAAAAGUUGCCAAAGGCGGGAUUUUGCCUUUUUUAACACUGGCAUUGCAUGUUUUGCACAUCUUGACUUCAGCCACGUCAGUAAAGUUCUACAAAAAAUGUCAUAUACUUGUAACAAGGAUUAAUAAGGUAUCAGAUAAAAGUAUACAAUUUUGACGUACCGUAAUUUUUUGAAGUAGAGUUUCUACUUCUCGUUGACCAGCUUUCAGAUCAUUUAAAAACCAUAAGCGAUCACAAACAUUACAAACGUGACCGAAAGGAUUUUUCACGAACAUCUUUCAGAAUACUGUAUGCGCUGAUUGAUGUCCGCUAGUGGAAUCUCCUCUAAAUUGAAAUCAUUUUCAUCAUUCAACAGUUCAUCUUCAAUGACUGACUCUGCAUACUCGCCACCAUCAUCACGAAGGUCUUGCUGCUAUACAGGCUCAUAGAAAUCUCCAUUUUCAAUUUGUUGAUUCAACUCCUGUUGCAUAUCAUUAUUGACAACAUGUAAAGACGAUGUGGAUUGGCUUGAAAGUUGGCGAAUUUCAUUCAAGUUAUUGAAGUUUGGCAGACGUUGAUGUAGUUUAUUUAAUUGAUGAUUUUUAUUUAUAACUUUGAUACUUUAUUGAGUCUCAAUAACUGCUUCUAGCUGUAUGAUUAUAGGUCCUGUAUUAGGACUCGAUAGCGCCAACUGUUCAGUAAUUACGGAUUCGAUGUAACUGGAAGGUGUUGCUUUAUGUAUUAGAAUCAUUUUAGCAGAAUCAAAGUUAUUAAGACCGUCACGGCUUUCACAUACUCGUCGUAAUGUACAUUGCUGCAUAGACUCAGAUUAAUAACGUUUAGCUGUUUCUGCAUCUCUCAUUAAUUUCCUAUUUAAUUUGAAUUUUCGUUGUCUCUCUGCCUAACUUUUUGGAGGUGGCUUCGAUCGUUUU